rnacentral:lncRNA from 1 species
CACUUCUCUUCUUCAGUCUCUUCCCAACUGCUAUUCCUGACCAGAACAGUCUCCAUGCUGGGUGCCCGGUGAUUGAAGGUGAGAAAUGGUCAGCCACAAAAUGGAUUCAUGUUGAUUCAUUCGAAAAGAACUUAGACAUCGGUGGUAACUGCACGGAUUUGAACGAGAGCUGUGAGAGAUGGGCUGCUCUUGGUGAGUGUACCAAGAACCGAGAAUAUAUGAUCGGAACUGCAGAACUUCCUGGCUAUUGUAGGAGAAGCUGCAAAGUAUGUUGAAGGUAAACUACAAGCUUCAAUGAUAGUAUAUCUGCUGCUGCAUUUUCUGUUGUAAGUUUUUUAUUGCUUUUUUUUUUUUAGUUUUUGGAUUCAAAUUUACAUUCUUAUGCUACAGUUUUCACAAACAUAGUUGAAAUCCAUGUAUUCUAAACCUUACUUUCAACUUGGUUAACAUAUCCCCCCGGAAGCUUCAGAUUUGUCGUAGUCUUUUUAGAUUGCUAGCGUUUCACUUUCAGCUGAAAUCUGAAAAUAAUUUUUUCCAUAUUGUACUUUUGAUUUUAAAUAGCAGUAUAUGGAUGUAAACUUUCUUCAACCAUGGACUUUAUUUUGCUUUCUCUUUUAAUCUGUAGGUUCUUGGCUAGAGUGAGUGUUGUUUAUGUUAUGGUCCUGUUAUGAAUUUUAUAUCGAAUGUAUACUUAGAGUUGGUCUUAAAUUCUGCGGACUAAAUCGUAAGGGCCACGGGCUGAAGCUGACAAUACGUUGCAGUUGAGUGUAGAGUACUAGUGAUAUGCCAUUGAAGCUAGUUUGUGUAGAUGAGCAAUGAAUUUCACAAUGGUUGCAUACUAGAUUUGAUACUAGGAUGUAAGUGUUUACACAACCUUUACCUAGAUGGAAGCGGAUAAUACCUUUCAAGUUUGUGUAGAGUGUGAUAGUUUAGGUGAAUUAUCAUGAAACUAGGAUUGAGGGUUACCCAUGCUAAAGGUUUUGGAUCAUGGAAUGACUCAAAGAUUUUUAGGAUCAACUUUAAGGCAAACCUUAUGGGUCGAUUUUUUUUUUUUUUUUUGGAAAUACAAUAAUGUUUUGAUAUUAUAAAUAAAAAUUAUAAUUCCAAAAAGCAAAUUUUCAUAAUUAUUGAAAAAUUUUCAAAUUUCCAUCAUGCAAAUAUAUAUUGUUCAUGUUAAAACCGGUUGAUUUUACAGUUUAAUUCUGAGUUAAAUAGAGCUUGCAAAACAAGCCUGAGCUCCAAAGUUGGCUUGGAUUUUAUAUCUGAUUAGCCAUUAUAGAUAUUAAUAAUUUUAUGGUAUUAUUUUAAAAAUAAAUAAAUUAUAUAUAUUUUUUGAAAAUGUAUUCAUAAGUAGAGGUGCUUAUGAGUUAGGCUUGGGUUGGGUCUAUACAAGGUAUUUAGAUCAUUUUUUUAAGUCUUAGCUUGGCUCGAAAAAUGGGUUUGCUUUUUUGCUCAAGCCCGAUUCAGUUUAAUGAAGGUAAAUUCGGGCCUAACUUGACUCGCUCAUAUUUUAUUUUUUAAGAUUAUUUUUAUUUAAAAAUAAAAAAAAUUAAAAAUCUAAUACACUAAAUGCACUAAAAAUGUUAAAAUAAAAGUUUUCUAACAAAUUAAAAAUAUAUUAAAAAGUAUUUAUAUUAAAAACAUUAUCAUAAAUAUAAUGAAUGUUUUAUUAUAUUAAAAAACACAAAUUAAUAUAAUUAAUAUUUUAUUGUAUAUAAUUUUUAAAAUUUUAUAUUUUGGGUUGGGUUAUUUAGUUGAGUAAGUUUUUUUUGUAUGGUUUUGGGUAAUGAGUUUAAUAGUUAUUGGGUUAGUGAUUUAAUAUAAAUAUAAAUAUAUAAUUAAUAUAAUAUUUUUAUAACAUAAUAUAUUCGGUCAAUUCAUGUCAGGUUCAGGCCAAAAAAAUCUUACCCAAAGCUCCGCUUAUAUAAAAAAUAGGCUUCAAAUUUUACUUAAGCCUAUUUUUUAACCUUGUAUUUUUGUCUAAACUUUUCUAUUUUUUAAACAGAUUUUUAAGCCCAGACAAGUGGUUUGGCCCAUAAGUAGGCCUGUUCAUAAGCAUUGCAUAUUUAUAUUAAUAUUUUAUUAAUAGGAAAUGUAAUUAAUAGUAAUUUUUUUACCUUAAAUUAUAAAGUGAAAUAAUUUUUUAAAAAUAGUAAUUUAAUAGAAAAUGUUUUUAAUACUAUAAUUAUAUAUGUAUCAUAAAUAUAUAAAAUUAAUAAAUAUUAAAAUCUAUAAAUUUAAACUUAAAUGAUAAUACAAUAAUACAUUAUAUAAUUAUUACCGAAACUGAUUACCUAACUUUACCUUCAUCUGUUCUACUAAAUUAGCAUAUUACGAGUACAUAAAAUAAUAUUAUAAUAUAUAACUAAUACUAAAAAUAUUAAUACAUAUAUAACUAUUAUUAUAAUAUAGAUUAGAAUAAAAGAUAUAUUAUUACAUGAGAUUAUAAUGUUUAAUAUUUUUGCACAUAUAUAAACUAUUAAUAGAUGAUAAGAUAUAGCAUUAUAUAAUAUAGUAGGAGGACUAACUGUACGAAAUAUAUAAGGACUUAGAGCAUAUUUCAACUAGUAUAACAAUGAUAUAUGAUAAUAUGUAAUAUAUAAUGUACUAUUAUUAUAUUAUAGAUUAUAAUAAAAGAUAUAACAUCAACAAUUAUGUCUCAUUUAGUACAUUAAAAUACAUUUCUAUAAUUACAACUAGCAAUAUAUAUAAUAUUAUUAAAAUUUUAAUAUAUUAAUAAAAUAUUAUUUUCUAAAUUAUAUAUUGAAUUGGGAUUUAGCUUUUGCAAAUUAUAUUUGAGUAUUGGGUCUAAUUACUUUUUAUUUUGGACUUAUAAUUAAUUUAUUUUGAGUUUGAGUAAUAAUGAGUGUAAGGCCCAAUUUUUGCCCGGACCCACAUAGAUAAUAAUAAUACCAAAUAAAAUGUAAAGCCCAAAUCCAAAUAGCCCAAGACACAUAAACCCUAGCAGCAAACCUAGCGCCACAGCAACCUCACCUCAACGUUGCAGCACUCCGCACGUUUUCCUUCCCUCGCACGCCUCCGCAAAUGUCGCACACUCCGCGCACGUCUUUUACGUUCUGCAACAGACCACGAACAGUAGAGAUAGCAGAAAAUAUAGUAAAAAUUAAAUAGAUUUUAUUUUUUAUUUUUUAUUUUUUAUUCUUCUCUAAGAUUCGGUUAUAAAGACCGAUGGAGGCUUUUGAGGGAGGAAAAGAAAACAAGAAAUUGAGAAGAGGGGUUAAGCAUAUUGAAUCAAAAAAGAAAGAAAUUAGUGUAAACGAAAUACAAAGGGAGAAAAUAAAAAUAGCAGUGGGAUUGAAGGUGAUUUUCUGGGUCUAUUUUCUUCUUGCUCAUUGAUUUCUUUGCUUGUUUUUUUUCUUUGUGCACCAAACAAAAAUAAAAGAAAGAGGAGAAAUCAUUACCAAAAGAGGCGCGCCGUCGACAUCUUUGCUUCUCUUCGUCUAAAUCGAAGUUGAAAUGGGGGAGGUCGGCUUGAAGAACAGAGGAGAGGAUGGAGCAGUUCUUGAGGCUGCUGUUACCGCAAAUGGAAUAGGGUUUUAAUUAGAGUUUGAAAUGGGUUUUAACUUUUAAGCAUUGAUGGGUUAUUUGUGUUUUUAAUCCUUCCAUUUUAUCCCAUCAUUUCAAAACCAUUUUUUUUGUUUUCAAAUUUUUCCAUGAAAUAUCGAAUCUGUUUUAUUUUAGUCCAAUAUGGCGCAACGUUUUGGGUGGUUUGGGUAAAUUUCUCUUUGGGUCCUCCUCCUGUUGCGCGCGUUUUGAUUUGGUCCCUUUUCGUGUUUUCUAUUUUUGAAUUCAGCC